UGGGGAAUAUUGCACAAUGGGCGAAAGCCUGAUGCAGCGACGCCGCGUGGAGGAUGACGGUUUUCGGAUUGUAAACUCCUGUUAAGUGGGAAGAAAGACUGAUACCUAAUACGUAUCAGGGAUGACGGUACCACUAGAGAAAGCACCGGCAAACUUCGUGCCAGCAGCCGCGGUAAUACGAAGGGUGCAAGCGUUAUUCGGAAUUACUGGGCGUAAAGAGCGUGAAGGCGGUUUCUUAAGUCAUCUGUUAAAGAGCCUGGCUUAACUAGGCAAGUGCGGGUGAUACUGGGAGACUAGAGUACAGGAGAGAAAGGUAGAAUUCUCGGAGUAGCGGUAAAAUGCGUAGAUCUCGAGAGGAAUACCGGUUGCGAAGGCGGCCUUUUGGCCUGCUACUGACGCUAAAGCGCGAAAGCGUGGGGAGCAAACAGG
rnacentral:rRNA from 1 species